GUGUGUGUGUAUUCAAGAUGGUGUGGUUGGCCAGAUCUGGAUUAUAUCUGAGUGCUAGUAAAGUACCUGCCUGGAUUCCAAAUCCCUGUUCAUUU